GAUGAACGCUGGCGGCGUGCCUAAUACAUGCAAGUCGAGCGAACAGACGAGGAGCUUGCUCCUCUGACGUUAGCGGCGGACGGGUGAGUAACACGUGGAUAACCUACCUAUAAGACUGGGAUAACUUCGGGAAACCGGAGCUAAUACCGGAUAAUAUAUUUAACCGCAUGGUUCAAUAGUGAAAGACGGUUUUGCUGUCACCUAUAGAUGGAUCCGCGCCACAUUAGCUAGUUGGUAAGGUAACGGCAUACCAAGGCACGAUGCGUGGCCGACCUGAGAGGUGGAUGGGCCACACUGGAACUGGGACACGCUCCAGACUCCUAGGGGAGGCGGCAUAAGGGAUUCUUCGGCAAUGGGCGAAGGCCUGACGGAGCAACGCCGCGUAGGUAAGGAAGGUCUUCGGAUCGAAAGACUCUUUUAUUAGGGAAGAAAAAAUCUGUAAGUACCUAUGCGCGUCUUGACGGUACCUAAUCAGAAAGCCACGGCUAACUACGUG
rnacentral:rRNA from 1 species